rnacentral:rRNA from 1 species
AGCGAACGUUUGCGGCGGGCUUAACACAUGCAAGUCGAACGGGCUGUUCCUUCGGGGGCAGUCAGUGGCGCACGGGUGCGUAACACGUAGGUAAUCAACCCUCUGGUUGGGGAUAACACUUCGAAAGGAGUGCUAAUACCCGGUAUGGCGCAGCGGUCUUCGGAUCGCGGCGAGAAAGACCCGCAAGGGUUGCCAGAGGACGAGCCUGCGGCCCAUCAGCUAGUUGGCGGGGUAACGGCUCACCAAGGCGAAGACGGGUAGCUGGUCUGAGAGGAUGAUCAGCCACACUGGAACUGAGACACGGUCCAGACUCCUACGGGAGGCAGCAGUGGGGAAUAUUGCGCAAUGGGCGAAAGCCUGACGCAGCCACGCCGCGUGAGCGAUGAAGGCCUCGGUC